rnacentral:rRNA from 1 species
GAUGAACGCUAGCGGCAGGCUUAACACAUGCAAGUCGAGGGGUAGAAGUUGCUUGCAACUUUGAGACCGGCGCACGGGUGCGUAACGCGUAUGCAACCUACCUUUUACAGAGGGAUAACCCAGAGAAAUUUGGAUUAAUACCUCAUAGUAUAUAACCUUCGCAUGUUGGUUAUAUUAAAGUUCCAACGGUAAAAGAUGGGCAUGCGUCCUAUUAGCUAGUUGGUGUGGUAACGGCACACCAAGGCGACGAUAGGUAGGGGUCCUGAGAGGGAGAUCCCCCACACUGGUACUGAGACACGGACCAGACUCCUACGGGAGGCAGCAGUGAGGAAUAUUGGACAAUGGGCGCAAGCCUGAUCCAGCCAUGCCGCGUGCAGGAAGAAGCAUCUAUGGUGUGUAAACUGCUUUUGUACAGGAAGAAACACCCCUUCGUGAAGGGACUUGACGGUACUGUAAGAAUAAGGAUCGGCUAACUCCGUGCCAGCAGCCGCCGUAAGAC